rnacentral:lncRNA from 13 species
CGCAGUGCCCGCGCCUGCCCGCGCCGCGCUCCGCGGCCGCGCUCCGGCCCCUCCGCCGCCUCCCCCGACCCUCCCGCCGGGCGGAGGAGGGGGAGGGAGAGAGGGGAGGAGGAGGAGACGGGAGGGGAGAGAAAAGGAGAGAAGAGAAGAGAGGCGAGAGACGCGCCGCAAGUUGCUGCCGCUCCUCCCUCCUUUCCCUGGCCGCGCCGCUGCCCGGCCCCUGCGGGCUGCGCUCCGCGGGAGGCGGCAUCCAGGGGCGCAGCGCUCCGCGGGGCCGGCGCCUCCCGGUGGAAACGUUUGUCAAUACUGUAUCUCACUUGAACAUCAAGCCCUACAGAGACUACAAGGUAAUUGUUUCUGCAACUGCUUUCUGUUUCCUGUGGUGGUCAGCUUGGCUUUAACUCAUUUUCUGAAGGCCCCUGUAAUUUAUGAAGGUGCCAGCGCUAAGCAACUGAACUGGUUAGCAGGAAUGUUACAAGUAGCUUUUACAGAAACUGUUGCUUACAGCUUCUGAUCCAUGGUGGGCUGUGUGAGAUUCCCAGCGUGUGUGUAUAAAAUAAAGAUGUGAUACAUUUUGAAAAUGCACUUCUUGUUUUUGUGUGUUAAGAAGCAGCAGUACCAGUCCCAGCUGAAAGGUAAAAUCUGCUGAAUAUGGGCUUGUGUGUGGUCAUUCAGAAAGUUGUUCCGUACCCAUCAGCAUCCAGACUUCUAGCUGGUUUUCUCCCUGGAGCUGUGUGAGAGGCAUCACGUGUCCUUUCAGUGCUGACACAGGCUUUCCUGCCCCAGGAAGGCAGCUUUGGUCAGUGUAAAUGUUUUGGUCAAGCAAAGCGAUGACCACCUCAUCAGAAAUCAGUCUUAGCUCGCUUUGCCAAGUUGAUAAAAGCUGUUUCUGCUGUUGCAGUUGUGGUAAAUGCUGCAGAUCUAUACAUCAAUUUGAUUGUCUCAAAGCCUGUUUGAAAGCAUAGCAAUGAGGUCACCAUGGGUGUGGACAGCAACUGAACAAAAUAGACUGCUGGGGGUUCGUAUUUCAUGCUCAAGUGACAAAGCUCUCCCACUGCGCUGGGUGCAGAAAAGAAUAUUGUGGUUAGGAAGUUGGUGUGGGCAUGCAGAGCAGAGUUGGUACCUCUGCAUGGAGACCAACCUUCAGUAGGCAGGCUGGUGCUGCUUACAUUCAUUACUGGAGGUCUGAUGAGAUUUGAGCAACACCAGGUUUAUAUUGGGUUGCCUCUUAAAUAAUGUUUCGCAGCACCUGCCAAAGGGUAAAUUUCAAGCACUUAAGUUAAUUUUAAUUUCAAGUGUCCCAGCCCUUGCUGGGUGGCUGUUACUAGUACGUGACGGUGUGGUACCAGACUGGACUUGACUUGAUUGUAUGUAAUGCACACGAUUUGUGCCUGAGUUGAGAAAUACUGGGAAGAUUUCAAGUCCCUUUCUUAGGGCAGUAAGAGCCUUGAAACAUUACAAGGAAUCAGUGCUUUGCUACUGCAUACCAAGUAGGUGGUCUUUACUUACUGCAUAUUGGUACUAUUGCAAACAAAACCUUUCAGGGUAACCCCACAGUGCUAACUGACCUGCUGCAUGUUCCUAGCUUUUCCUAAAGGAAAGUUGGAUUGUCAGACAAGCUUAACUUUUUUAACCCUAGACAAGUUUAACUUCUCUUUUGCAAAAUGGAGUGCACUUCUCUGAUAAUAUACUUGGUUACCACAGCUUGUCUGACCAGGUACCUCCUAAGCUACAGGGACUGGUUGUAUGACUUUGUGUGAAUACUCUCCCUCUCUGUCUCUUUUUGUUACCUCUACAUAGGACAGAAAUGCUUCAGUCCCAGAUUUUGAGCUCAUGAGAAAGGCAUAAAUAAAUACAACAUAAGUAUGAUUCAUAGAAUCGUUGCUUCUUGGAAAUAGUUGUCUUUAAAAUGAACAUAGAAAUCCAUGAGCGUGUAUAGACACCUUAGAGAUGAAAUUAAUGUAAAAUCAAUGUAUUACCACUCAUGCUUCUGGUGUCUUACGUUGUGGAAGCUAGAGGUCUGUGAUAGUUGUCUUUAAAUCUGUCAAAGAUUAAGCAUUUUACUUCUGAACUCUCAUUUUCUGUGAAAGAUACUCAGAUCAGGAAAUGAAACAUCUGAAAGUUGAGGGUUUUCUCUCUCUCUUCUCUGUUGAGUAGCUCAUCAUUUUGGAAAUUCUGUUUGCAAUAAAAAUGUGUUGAUGACUCUGAAGCGUGUCUGACGGACCUGCAUAAUCUCAACGCUUGCACAGGAAAUCAGAACUUGUGAACAGAUAUUAUGAUGCCAUAAUAUCCUCCAUCAACAAUAGACAGCAACACAGUGCUGUCUGAGGGCAACUGUAGGUCCAGAGCAUUAUCAUUUCAGUUAAAAACUGGGAACCUUAGAGCUGGGAAAAAAAAAAAAAAAAAAGGUUUAUUCUAGGGUCUUUCUGAAAUCUGGAUGUACUUCUCUGAUUAAUAGUACAGCCCAGAAACAGCUGUUUGGCUGUGAGCGAGGCUGGAAGGUGAGGACAGGAUCUUUUUUCAACCAGUUGUGUUGGUGGUGAAAUAGUGUCAAUCUUCAGCCUGGCAGAUUUUGGGCUGUGUUAAGAAAGCAAGUGACCCCUCCAUGGAUCACUUGAUGGGUGUGGUUUGGAGUACCUUCAGAUGGAGGUGGAGAAGGCAAGUGUGACAGGUGGUAAAGGAGGUCGCUGAACUCAGGACUUUGUUCAGCCAGUCAGGAACCACAUCUCCAGGCACUGCACACACAGACAGGCGUGGUGUUUCACUGAGAGGUUCCUCCCUG